GAUAAACGCUGGCGGUGUACAUAAGACAUGCAAGUCGAACGGGAGAAGACUGGAAGAUUUAUCUACUGGUUGGACACCGUGGCGGACGGGUGAGUAACACGUAAGCAACCUGCCUAUAAGAGGGGGAUAACAGUGAGAAAUUACUGAUAAUACCGCAUAAGCUGGAGGUAUCGCAUGAUACAUUCAGAAAAGAUUUAUCGCUUAUAGAUGGGCUUGCGUCUGAUUAGCUAGUUGGUGAGAUAACAGCUCACCAAGGCGACGAUCAGUAGCCGGAUUGAGAGGUUGAACGGCCACAUUGGGACUGAGACACGGCCCAGACUCCUACGGGAGGCAGCAGUCGGGAAUAUUGCACAAUGGAGGAAACUCUGAUGCAGUGACACCGCGUAUAGGAAGAAGGUCUUAGGAUUGUAAGCUAUUGUCGUGNGAGAAGAAA
rnacentral:rRNA from 1 species